rnacentral:rRNA from 1 species
GACGAACGCUGGCGGCGUGCCUAACACAUGCAAGUCGAGCGGGGGGAGUUCUUCGGAACAAACCUAGCGGCGGACGGGUGAGUAACACGUGGGUAACCUGCCUCAAAGUGGGGGAUAGCCUUUCGAAAGGAAGCUUAAUACCGCAUAACCCAUAGCUUCCGCAUGGAAGCAAUGGUAAAGAUUUAUCGCUUUGAGAUGGACCCGCGGCGCAUUAGCUAGUUGGUGAGGUAACGGCUCACCAAGGCCACGAUGCGUAGCCGACCUGAGAGGGUGAUCGGCCACAUUGGAACUGAGACACGGUCCAGACUCCUACGGGAGGCAGCAGUGGGGAAUAUUGCACAAUGGGCGAAAGCCUGAUGCAGCAACGCCGCGUGAGUGAUGAAGGCCUUCGGGUUGUAAAGCUCUGUCUUUUGGGACGAUAAUGACGGUACCAAAGGAGGAAGCCACGGCUAACUACGUGCCAGCAGCCGCGGUAAGAC